rnacentral:rRNA from 1 species
AGCGAACGCUGGCGGCAGGCCUAACACAUGCAAGUCGAGCGCCCCGCAAGGGGAGCGGCAGACGGGAGAGUAACACGUGGGAACGUACCCUUUGGUUCGGAACAACCCAGGGAAACUUGGGCUGAUACCGGAUAAGCCCUCACGGGGAAAGAUUUAUCGCCGAAGGAUCGGCCCGCGUCUGAUUAGCUAGUUGGUGAGGUAACGGCUCACCAAGGCGACGAUCAGUAGCUGGUCUGAGAGGAUGAUCAGCCUCACUGGGACUGAGACACGGCCCGGACUCCUACGGGAGGCAGCAGUGGGGAAUAUUGGACAAUGGGCGCAAGCCUGUUCCAGCCAUGCCGCGUGGGUGAUGAAGGCCCUAGGGUUGUAAAGCCCUUUCGGCGGGGAAGAUAAUGACGGUACCCGCAGAAGAAGCCCCGGCUAACUUCGUGCCAGCCGCCGCAGUAA